rnacentral:lncRNA from 1 species
AUUGAUGGAGAUGAGCCAACAGAUGAAAGAUCCACUUUCAUUACCCAUAACCGAGGGGUAAUUCAAGGUAAUAACAAUUUUAAUCGAUCUUCAACACCAAAAUACACAGCCACGAGUGGACAGAAAAAGUUACGAAAACGCCAUGAAAAGUCCGUUUUCAUAUUGAUUCUGAUUGUAUUUGUAUUUAUCGUCUGUCAUUCCUUUCGUCUUGGAGUCCAGGUGUAUCAGACAUUUUACUCAUCUCACAACAUCAAGGACCAUUUUAUGUACUGCAACAAUCAAGGGAAACUUCACAUGCCAAUGAUAUUUUUGGUUCUCACGUCUUUCAAUAAUUUAUUUUUGAUAAUCAAUUCAUCGGUCAACUUUAUCAUCUACUGUGCAGUGAGAAAGUCUUUUCGGAAAUCCUUUUAUAAAUUGGUCAAAAUACCAACUCAAUGUUUCGAUAAACGCCAUUUUAACAAUGAAUAAAAAUAUUAUUUUUUCCCCAGCUAUUUGUAGGAUGUUAUAUAGAAGAGUUAUUUUUGUUAAGUAGAAUUGUUGUUGAAGUACUUGUAUUAAAAAUUUAAACAAAUAAACACAUAUAUAGUUGUCUU